rnacentral:rRNA from 1 species
GAUCGUACUUUCUGGAACGAGUUAGGUCAGUUCGGCUGGAUCGGUGACAGGUGCUGCAUGGCUGUCGUCAGCUCGUGUCGUGAGAUGUUGGGUUAAGUCCCGCAACGAGCGCAACCCUUGUCCUUAGUUGCCAGCAUUAAGUUGGGCACUCUAAGGAGACUGCCGGUGUUAAACCGGAGGAAGGUGGGGAUGACGUCAAGUCCUCAUGGCCCUUAUGUCCAGGGCUACACACGUGCUACAAUGGCCGGUACAAAGGGCUGCAAUACCGCAAGGUGGAGCGAACCCCAAAAAACCGGUCUCAGUUCGGAUUGGAGUCUGCAACUCGACUCCAUGAAGUUGGAAUCGCUAGUAAUCGCGUAUCAGCAUGACGCGGUGAAUACGUUCCCGGGCCUU